GCUCGUCUAGCUCAGUCGGUAGAGCGCCAGACUUUUAAUCUGGUGGUCGUGGGUUCGAGCCCCACGAUGGGCA
rnacentral:tRNA from 1 species